CAUUCUUUCCAGUGAGACUCGGUGUCUUGUGGAGUCCUAGCAUUAAAGAUUUGCUGCGACAGCUGUGAGAAGUGGUUUCACGUCAGCUGUGUUCAGCAUCCUCCUGUGGAAAAGGAGUACUUGUGCCCAGCAUGCACACACCUUUAAAACUGCAAUUAUAAUUGCAGCUGUUUUAUGGAAGUCCUGACCAGAAGCAGAAGGAUGUUUGAUGUAAUGUAAAUUGUUUGGAAAAAUUAAAGUUGCAAUAACUGGAA